GGGGGCUCCAACGGUUGGAGAUGCUCUAAUUCAUUGUAUUUGCAUGUUUCCAGCAGCCAUGUAUCAAAAAAAGCUUCAGCUUUGGGUUGUUGAUUUAGCAGCAUCAAUCAUUAAUUGUUCUGCUAUAUAUGUUCUUAACCAUGACAACCUGAUUAGGCUCUUAGUUUAUUAUGGUCUUUGUUCUGGGUGGAUCUCUGACUAUUCUGGGUUGCUCCGCUGAGGACAAGCUGCUUCUGCAGGUGGACGGGCCCUCAAGGCUGCUCUGCCUAUUCCUCCUGCUACCCCCACACGUGCAAACACAAAGCCGUCGAUGCAUUGAGGGCUCAAUGUCGUCUCCGCCGGCUGAGCGGCAAGCCGGGGUUGGGCCUGCACACCGUCUAUCAGCACCCUCCCGUGUCUCCAUUCACGGAUCUGCAGUUGAGCAUAAUAGUUUAUAGCCUGAUAGGCUUGGACAUAAUUGUCUACAUGUACUGCUCAGUAGGCGACAUCCUUUGGGAAAUUGAGGAUGUCCUCGUGCAUUUUCUAAAUACAAUUGGGGCAUAUCUGAGGAAUGAAGGGAGGAAUAAACUCGUGGGAGAGUUCGGUGCAGAGGAAGAAGAACAAGAUAUUAUUUAUUUCUUGUGUACAGUCAAGCUUGUGCAUUGUCCCACUUUCUGGGGCCAGGCAACCUUGAAUCCAACGUCCACCUGCAGGCUACAUCUCAGGUAGGAUAAAAAGAUUGCAGUGAACUUGAUGGGUAUAUCAUUAUUGUUGCCUCCUAAUUUGUGUGAUGAGCAAAUGUGUAGAUUGUGUGUAAAUCCGAGAUGCCUAAAACGGUUGGGAACUGAACUUGUUACCUCGGUUCACUUUAAUGGCAUGUUAAACUCGAUGCACUUUCUGGACUGUGACAUUUUUCCUGAAAUUUUGGAAGUGACUGCUAAUGUAGUCUAAAUAGAGUGACUGAGUAGUUACUUUCUCACAAGAGUUGACUUCCCGUUAUUGGAGUACUUGCUAAGAUGGAUUGGUGGUUUUUAUGUUAGAUGAAAAAUAUUACAUCAAUCUUUACGGCUUUUUAUGGGCAAGUGAUUCCGACUCCA